GCUCAUGAUGAGCGCUAGCUACAGGCUUAACACAUGCAAGUCGAGGGGCAGCAUUUUAGUUUGCUUGCAAACUGAAGAUGGCGACCGGCGCACGGGUGAGUAACACGUAUCCAACCUGCCGAUAACUCCGGAAUAGCCUUUCGAAAGAAAGAUUAAUACCGGAUAGCAUACGAAUAUCGCAUGAUAUUUUUAUUAAAGAAUUUCGGUUAUCGAUGGGGAUGCGUUCCAUUAGUUUGUUGGCGGGGUAACGGCCCACCAAGACUACGAUGGAUAGGGGUUCUGAGAGGAAGGUCCCCCACAUUGGAACUGAGACACGGUCCAAACUCCUACGGGAGGCAGCAGUGAGGAAUAUUGGCCAAUGGGCGAGAGCCUGAACCAGCCAAGUAGCGUGAAGGAUGAAGGCUCUAUGGGUCGUAAACUUCUUUUAUAUGGGAAUAAAGUUUUCCACGUGUGGAAUUUUGUAUGUACCAUAUGAAUAAGGAUCGGCUAACUCCGUGCCAGCAGCCGCGGUAAUACGGAGGAUCCGAGCGUUAUCCGGAUUUAUUGGGUUUAAAGGGAGCGUAGGUGGAUUGUUAAGUCAGUUGUGAAAGUUUGCGGCUCAACCGUAAAAUUGCAGUUGAAACUGGCAGUCUUGAGUACAGUAGAGGUGGGCGGAAUUCGUGGUGUAGCGGUGAAAUGCUUAAAUAUCACGAAGAACUCCGAUUGCAAAGGCAGCUCACUAGACUGUCACUGACACUGAUGCUCGAAAGUGUGGGUAUCAAACAGGAUUAGAUACCCUGGUAGUCCACACAGUAAACGAUGAAUACUCGCUGUUUGCGAUAUACAGUAAGCGGCCAAGCGAAAGCAUUAAGUAUUCCACCUGGGGAGUACGCCGGCAACGGUGAAACUCAAAGGAAUUGACGGGGGCCCGCACAAGCGGAGGAACAUGUGGUUUAAUUCGAUGAUACGCGAGGAACCUUACCCGGGCUUAAAUUGCAACAGAAUAUAUUGGAAACAGUAUAGCCGUAAGGCUGUUGUGAAGGUGCUGCAUGGUUGUCGUCAGCUCGUGCCGUGAGGUGUCGGCUUAAGUGCCAUAACGAGCGCAACCCUUAUCUUUAGUUACUAACAGGUCAUGCUGAGGACUCUAGAGAGACUGCCGUCGUAAGAUGUGAGGAAGGUGGGGAUGACGUCAAAUCAGCACGGCCCUUACGUCCGGGGCUACACACGUGUUACAAUGGGGGGUACAGAAGGCGGCUACCUGGUGACAGGAUGCUAAUCCCAAAAACCUCUCUCAGUUCGGAUCGAAGUCUACAACCCGACUUCGUGAAGCUGGAUUCGCUAGUAAUCGCGCAUCAGCCAUGGCGCGGUGAAUACGUUCCCGGGCCUUGUACACACCGCCCGUCAAGCCAUGAAAGCCGGGGGUACCUGAAGUACGUAACCGCAAGGAGCGUCCUAGGGUAAAACUGGUAA
rnacentral:rRNA from 1 species